UUACCCUCUAUGUGGUCAUUCAGCAUGCAAGUAGGGCUGCAAGGUUUUACAGGAUUUCUCUCUCUUCGGACUCAACCAAAAAACAAGGUUUUGUCAUCCAGAUUUCACACAGCCCUGAUUUGGAGCAUUUAUUUGAAGCACCCUGAGUAUAGAACUCUGGCGCUGUCCAAAGAUGUCUGCUAGAUCUCAGCUGGCUGGAGCUUCUUCCUCAUACCAGUGAGUUUCUUCUAAAAUGAAACGGGCUCAGACUUUAACAAGAGCAGGAAGGACAGCUCCAGCCCAUCUUAAGUAACUUCUUUUCUUUUCCUCCAAAAGGACAGAUAUUACUGUCUUUGGCGCUAUGUAAAUGACUGUCAAACAAGGAUGAUUUUCCUUCUAAAAAUUCUCUCCAGCUAAAGGGUAGUUGUUAAAAUGAAAGCCUUAUCUUAUGCUUUA